UCUGGAUUAUAAACUUAUUUACCUGAGCACUAUGAAUAGAAGAUUCUGUGUUAAUUUAAAACUCAAAAGGCUUGGCGGUGUUUUAGACUUUUCAGGGGAACCUGUCUCUUAAUCGAUAGUCCACGAUAGACCUAACUUUAUUUUAGGGUAUGUAUACCGUCGUCAACAGGUGACUUUUAAAAAAAUAAAAGUUAGCAAGUAAAAAAAUUUAUUUUUUAUGUCAGAUCAAGGUGCAGCUUAUAAAAAAGUGAGGAUGGGUUACAAUUAAUAAAAUUUUAAUUACGAAGAUGUUGAUGAAAUUCAUAUUUGAAGGAGGACUUGAAAGUAAAAAUUUAAUUAUAUAGAUGUUUUGAAUAUAGCUCUGAAACGUGCACACAUCGCCGGUCGCUCUCGUUGAAAAAUGAGAUAAGUCGUAACAUAGUAAUGGUAACGGAAGUUGCCGUUAGAUG
rnacentral:rRNA from 1 species